UACGUAGGGAGCAAGCGUUGUCCGGAAUCAUUGGGCGUAAAGCGCGCGUAGGUGGUCCCGUAAGUCCGCUGUGAAAGUCAAAGGCUCAACCUUUGAAAGCCGGUGGAUACUGUGGGACUAGAGUACGGAAGAGGCGAGUGGAAUUCCUGGUGUAGCGGUGAAAUGCGCAGAUAUCAGGAGGAACACCGGUGGCGAAGGCGGGUCUCUGGGCCACUACUGACGCUGAGAAGCGAAAGCAUGGGGAGCGAACAGG
rnacentral:rRNA from 1 species